rnacentral:rRNA from 1 species
AUUGAACGCUGGCGGCAGGCUUAACACAUGCAAGUCGAGCGGGGUGAUGGUGCUUGCACUAUCACUUAGCGGCGGACGGGUGAGUAAUGCUUAGGAAUCUGCCUAUUAGUGGGGGACAACAUCUCGAAAGGGAUGCUAAUACCGCAUACGUCCUACGGGAGAAAGUAGGGGAUCACUUGUGACCUUGCGCUAAUAGAUGAGCCUAAGUCGGAUUAGCUAGUUGGUGGGGUAAAGGCCUACCAAGGCGACGAUCUGUAGCGGGUCUGAGAGGAUGAUACCCCAAACUGGGACUGAGACACGGCCCAGACUCCUACGGGAGGCAGCAGUGGGGAAUAUUGGACAAUGGGCGAAAGCCUGAUCCAGCCAUGCCGCGUGUGUGAAGAAGGCCUUUUGGUUGUAAAGCACUUUAAGCGAGGAGGAGGCUCUUUUGGUUAAUACCCAAGAUGAGUGGACGUUACUCGCAGAAUAAGCACCGGCUAACUCUGUGCCAGCCGCCGCCGUAA